UGGCUUGGAAGCAGCCAUUCAUUUAAAGAGUGCGUAACAGCUCACUAGUCGAGCGGUCGAGCAUGGAUAAUAAUCGGGCAUAAGCAUAUCACCGAAGCUAUGGCAUCGAAAGAUGGGUAGGGGAGCAUUGUAGCGACGUUGAAGGUAAACUGUAAGGUUUGCUGGAGUUUCUACAAAAGAAAAUGUAGGCAUAAGUAACGAUAAUGCGGGCGAGAAACCCGCACACCGAAAGACUAAGGUUUCCUCAGCUAUGCUAAUCAGCUGAGGGUUAGUCGGGACCUAACGCGAACCCGAAAGGGGUAGUGGAUGGACAACAGGUUAAUAUUCCUGUACCUGCUCUCAUUAAAAGUGACGGAUUGACCAGAUAUCUACGUGGUGACGGAAGUCCACGUUGAGCAUAGCCUUCGGGCGAAGCGAUGAUAAGUAAUCAGUUCCAAGAAAAGCGAGAGAAGCAGCCCGUACCGUAAACCGACACAGGUAGUUGGGAUGAGUAUUCUAAGGUGCUCGAGAGAUUCAUGGCUAAGGAACUAGGCAAAAUCGACCCGUAACUUCGGGAGAAGGGUCGCCCAUCUUCGGAUGGGCCGCAGUGAAGAGGUCCAGGCGACUGUUUAUCAAAAACACAGGGCUCUGCUAAAUCGAAAGAUGAUGUAUAGGGCCUGACACCUGCCCGGUGCUGGAAGGUUAAGUGGAGGGGUUAGCUUCGGCGAAGCUCUGAAAUGAAGCCCCAGUAAACGGCGGCCGUAACUAUAACGGUCCUAAGGUAGCGAAAUUCCUUGUCGGGUAAGUUCCGACCUGCACGAAUGGUGCAACGAUCUGGACACUGUCUCAACCAUGAGCUCGGUGAAAUUGUAGUAUCGGUGAAGAUGCCGAUUACCCGCAGUGGGACGAAAAGACCCCGUGAACCUUUACUAUAGCUUAGUAUUGGCUUUGGAUAAGUAAUGUGUAGGAUAGGUGGGAAACUAUGAAGUGGCGUCGCUAGGCGUUGUGGAGUUAACCUUGAAAUACCACCCUUUGCUUAUCUAGAGUCUAACUCAGAGAUGAGGACAGUGCUUGGUGGGUAGUUUGACUGGGGUGGUCGCCUCCAAAAGAGUAACGGAGGCUUCUAAAGGUACCCUCAGCACGCUUGGUAACCGUGCGUAGAGUGCAAUGGCAUAAGGGU
rnacentral:rRNA from 1 species